AGUGAACGCUGGCGGUAGGCCUAACACAUGCAAGUCCAACGGCAGCACAGUAAGAGCUUGCUCUUACGGGUGGCGAGUGGCGGACGGGUGAGGAAUACAUCGGAAUCUACUUUUUCGUGGGGGAUAACGUAGGGAAACUUACGCUAAUACCGCAUACGACCUACGGGUGAAAGCAGGGGAUCUUCGGACCUUGCGCGAUUGAAUGAGCCGAUGUCGGAUUAGCUAGUUGGCGGGGUAAAGGCCCACCAAGGCGACGAUCCGUAGCUGGUCUGAGAGGAUGAACAGCCACACUGGAACUGAGACACGGUCCAGACUCCUACGGGAGGCAGCAGUGGGGAAUAUUGGACAAUGGGCGCAAGCCUGAUCCAGCCAUACCGCGUGGGUGAAGAAGGCCUUCGGGUUGUAAAGCCCUUUUGUUGGGAAAGAAAAGCAGCAGGUUAAUACCCCGCUGUUCUGACGGUACCCAAAGAAUAAGCACCGGCUAACUUCGUG
rnacentral:rRNA from 1 species